UACAGAGGGGGCAAGCGUUGUUCGGAAUUACUGGGCGUAAAGGGCGCGCAGGCGGCUCAUUUUGUCAGGCGUGAAAGCCCCGGGCUUAACCUGGGAACUGCGUUUGAUACGGAUGGGCUAGAGUUCGGGAGAGGAGAGUGGAAUUCCCAGUGUAGAGGUGAAAUUCGUAGAUAUUGGGAAGAACACCGGUGGCGAAGGCAGCCAUCUGGACCGACACUGACGCUGAGGCGCGAAAGCGUGGGGAGCAAACAGG
rnacentral:rRNA from 1 species